UACGUAGGGUGCAAGCGUUGUCCGGAAUUAUUGGGCGUAAAGAGCUCGUAGGCGGUCUGUCGCGUCUGCUGUGAAAACUCGGGGCUUAACCCCGGGCCUGCAGUGGGUACGGGCAGACUAGAGUGCGGUAGGGGAGACUGGAAUUCCAGGUGUAGCGGUGAAAUGCGUAGAUAUCUGGAGGAAUACCGGUGGCGAAGGCGGCAUCCUGGACCGGCAUUGACGCUGAGGAGCGAAAGCCAGGGGAGCAAACGGG
rnacentral:rRNA from 1 species